UACAGAGGGUGCGAGCGUUGUCCGGAAUCACUGGGCGUAAAGGGCGCGUAGGCGGUGGCUUAAGCGUGCGGUGAAAGCUCGGAGCUCAACUCCGAGUCGGCCGUGCGAACUGGGCUCACUGGAGCAUAGUAGAGGCAGGUGGAAUUCCGGGUGUAGCGGUGGAAUGCGUAGAGAUCCGGAAGAACACCGGUGGCGAAGGCGGCAUCCUGGACCGAGAUUGACGCUGAGGCGCGAAAGCCAGGGGAGCAAACGGG
rnacentral:rRNA from 1 species